rnacentral:tRNA from 1 species
AAGGGUAUAGCUCAGUGGUAGGGUGCAUGUCUAGCAUACAUAAGGUCCUGGGUUCAGUCCUCAGUACCUCUA